rnacentral:rRNA from 1 species
UACAGAGGGGGCGAGCGUUGUUCGGAAUUACUGGGCGUAAAGGGCGCGUAGGCGGCCUGCUAAGUCAUACGUGAAAUCCCUCGGCUCAACCGAGGAACUGCGUCUGAUACUGGUUGGCUUGAAUUCGGGAGAGGGAUGCGGAAUUCCAGGUGUAGCGGUGAAAUGCGUAGAUAUCUGGAGGAACACCGGUGGCGAAGGCGGUAUCCUGGACCGAGAUUGACGCUGAUGCGCGAAAGCCAGGGGAGCAAACGGG